rnacentral:rRNA from 1 species
CACGUAGGGGGCAAGCGUUGUCCGGAUUUAUUGGGCGUAAAGAGCUCGUAGGUGGUUCGGUAAGUCGGGUGUUAAACCCCCAGGCUCAACCUGGGGACGCCACUCGAUACUGCUGUGACUAGAGUCCGGUAGGGGAGCGUGGAAUUCCUGGUGUAGCGGUGAAAUGCGCAGAUAUCAGGAGGAACACCAGCGGCGAAAGCGGCUUCCUGGUCCAGCACCGACGUUCAGGCACGAAAGCGUGGGGAGCAAACAGG